AAAAGAAGAUCAAGAAGAGCUUCAGAAUGAAGCUUUCUUGAUGGAGGGGAGCGGCAGACGGGUGAGUAACACGUGGGAAUCUACCCAUCCCUGCGGAACAACUCCGGGAAACUGGAGCUAAUACCGCAUACGCCCUUAGGGGGAAAGAUUUAUCGGGGAUGGAUGAGCCCGCGUUGGAUUAGCUAGUUGGUGGGGGAAAAGCAUCCCAAGGCGACGAUCCAUAGCUGGUCUGAGAGGAUGAUCAGCCACAUUGGGACUGAGACACGUCCCAAACUCCUACGGGAGGCAGCAGUGGGGAAUAUUGGACAAUGGGCGCGAGCCUGAUCCAGCCAUGCCGCGUGAGUGAUGAGGGCCUUAGGGUUGUAAAGCUCUUUCACCGAUGAAGAUAAUGACGGUAGUCGGAGAAGAAGCCCCGGCUAACUUCGUGCCAGCAGCCGCCGUAACAC
rnacentral:rRNA from 1 species